UAACACGUGGGCAAUCUGCCCUGUACUUUGGGAUAAGCCUGGGAAACUGGGUCUAAUACCGGAUAUCACCGGUCCUCGCAUGGGGGUUGGUUGAAAGUUCUGGCGGUACAGGAUGAGCCCGCGGCCUAUCAGCUUGUUGGUGGGGUAAUGGCCUACCAAGGCGACGACGGGUAGCCGGCCUGAGAGGGUGACCGGCCACACUGGGACUGAGACACGGCCCAGACUCCUACGGGAGGCAGCAGUGGGGAAUAUUGCACAAUGGGCGAAAGCCUGAUGCAGCGACGCCGCGUGAGGGAUGACGGCCUUCGGGUUGUAAACCUCUUUCGCCAGGGACGAAGCGCAAGUGACGGUACCUGGAUAAGAAGCACCGGCUAACUACGUGCCAGCAGCCGCGGUAAUACGUAGGGUGCGAGCGUUGUCCGGAAUUAUUGGGCGUAAAGAGCUCGUAGGCGGUUUGUCGCGUCGUUCGUGAAAACUCCACGCUUAACGUGGAGCGUGCGGGCGAUACGGGCAGACUUGAGUUCGGUAGGGGAGACUGGAAUUCCUGGUGUAGCGGUGAAAUGCGCAGAUAUCAGGAGGAACACCGGUGGCGAAGGCGGGUCUCUGGGCCGAUACUGACGCUGAGGAGCGAAAGCGUGGGGAGCGAACAGGAUUAGAUACCCUGGUAGUCCACGCUGUAAACGUUGGGCGCUAGGUGUGG
rnacentral:rRNA from 1 species